UACGUAGGGUGCGAGCGUUGUCCGGAAUUAUUGGGCGUAAAGAGCUCGUAGGCGGUCUGUCGCGUCGGAUGUGAAAGCCCAGGGCUUAACUCCGGGUCUGCAUUCGAUACGGGCAGACUAGAGUGUGGUAGGGGAGAUCGGAAUUCCAGGUGUAGCGGUGAAAUGCGUAGAUAUCUGGAGGAACACCGGUGGCGAAGGCGGCAUCCUGGACCAAUUCUGACGCUGAGGAGCGAAAGCCAGGGGAGCAAACGGG
rnacentral:rRNA from 1 species